UACGUAGGGUGCAAGCGUUGUCCGGAAUUAUUGGGCGUAAAGGGCUCGUAGGCGGUUUGUCGCGUCGGGAGUGAAAACUCAGGGCUUAACCCUGAGCCUGCUUCCGAUACGGGCAGACUAGAGGUAUGCAGGGGAGAAUGGAAUUCCUGGUGUAGCGGUGAAAUGCGCAGAUAUCAGGAAGAACACCCGUGGCUAAGGCGGUUCUCUAGUACGGUACUGACGCUGAGACGCGAAAGCGUGGGGAGCGAACAGG
rnacentral:rRNA from 1 species